rnacentral:rRNA from 1 species
AACGAACGCUGGCGGCGUGCUUAACACAUGCAAGUCGAACGCGAAAGGGACUUCGGUCCUGAGUAAAGUGGCGCACGGGUGAGUAACGCGUAGAUAACCUGUCUUCGAGUCUGGAAUAAUACACCGAAAGGGGUACUAAUACCGGAUAUUCUUGCAUUUCAUAAGGAGUGCAAGCAAAGGUGGCCUCUGUAUAUGCUACUGCUUGAUGAGGGGUCUGCGUACCAUUAGCUAGUAGGUGGGGUAAUGGCCCACCUAGGCUACGAUGGUUAGCGGGUCUGAGAGGAUGAUCCGCCACACUGGCACUGGAACACGGGCCAGACUCCUACGGGAGGCAGCAGUGAGGAAUAUUGCGCAAUGGGGGCAACCCUGACGCAGCGACGCCGCGUGAGUGAGGAAGGCCUUGGUCGUAAGACUCUGUCAAGAGGAAAGAAGUAGCGUGGUGGCGUAAUACCU